CAUGAGUCGACUCCUUUCCUCGCCCUCUCCAGCUUUAUUUCCCCGUCCUUGGUGGUUUGUGCCAACACUUUGGGAAGCUACAACUCCAUGAACUGUAAGGUCUCUGUUUUGCGUGCUUCGUGUGUGGUCAUUUUUAAGUAUCGUUGGCCGCGCUGAUUGGGUGUAGUGUCGUUAAAGUGUGGUGUGCGCUCUCUGUCACCGCAGACUGUGACUGGUACUGGGGCGCUUAAGCGCUCUUCGUUUGGCUGUUGAAGCCACAGCGCUUCCUCCAUUUCUCCUCCUGCGCUCCGUGUGAGGCCGCACUGCGCAGCUCAGUGACGUGCGCCACAGCGGCUAUCCAAGCGUAAACUGUUUGCAGCCUCCAGCCUGGUGCGGACGCUCCGUCUUCGACACGCCGUCUUUCUCGCAGUCCUUUGUGGGCUCCUGGUGGUUUUCAGCCUCACGACAACCACUGUUGGUUUGAUUAAUUGUUUGUUUUUGUUUUUUUGUUUAAUUGUGUGUGUUAAAUAUUCAUUUUGGUACUUAUUUGGUUUUGUUUUAUUUUGUUUGAAUUUUGUUGCUCAUUUGGUCUGCUCCUUUUGUGGGUUUGCUCCUUGUGGGCCAACUGUUUAAAAAAAAAGUUGUUUCUUGAUUUAUUUCUUUUUUUGUGUGUGUGUUAUCGAUAUAUCUUUUGUUUUGAUUAUUUCUUAGUUAUUUGGUUACAAAUGUUCUGUUCAUUUAGUUUUUUUAGCUAUUGGGGUGUUCUUAAUAGAUGGAGCUAUUAGGUCUGGCCUCCACCCACAGUUGAAUUUUGGUGUUGAGUUGGUUUGUCUUGUACUUUUUCUUUUUUUUAAGUAAAUUUUCUUUGAAUAUUUUGAUUUAGAUAGUUAGUCAUUUGUACUAUUCCUUUCUGUUUGUGUGAGUGUUGCGUGUCUUAGCCUGGACCUUCUGUUUUAACUUUUAUCUGUAUAGCACUAACAUUGAGUGUCCCUCUGCAUAAUUUAGUUUCUGUUUCUUUUCAGGACAGGAGCUGGUGCAGUGACAGGGACGCUGGAAGUAAUUCACAGUUGGGGGGGCUGAGAAACAUUCCGAUGACGUCAUAAUGCGAAAGGGCAACAUACAUAAAUCAAUAACGUUCUCGAUAGGGUGUUACACUUGGUUAUUUAUAUGCCUAGUAAUCAUGUGAUACCGGCUAUAAUUUACAAUGAGAUGUCAUCACAACCAACCUGUAUUAGACCUACAGAGGUUUUAGAAAAUACAUCAUAAGGCCAACUUGAUGGCAACGUAAUGCUCAGCCUAGGAAUGUGAAUGUGCUUCAUUGAAUCACACAUGAAAUGCAAGUAUUUCUCAGAAUAUGUCUUUAAUUAAGACCUCAAAUAUUUAAUUUCACGCACAAGGUACUGAGAUUAGGCACGAGACAGCGUUACAAACAAGUAAUAUAGUGUUGACUUUUUAAACCUUCUCUCACUCAGAACCGAGAGUCCGGGCAAAAGUGUGGGAAGAAAGGAGGACGAAGUAGUGGCACAUUUAAUUCCUCUUUUUAUCAAAAAGCAGAACACACACCGGGCCGAUUCAAAACCUGACUGGACACUGCUGCGGGCUAAAACACUCGGGCGUUCACAUGAGCUAACUCUGCUGUGUACAUCUAACACACUGGAUGUGUACCCCUGCUCCUGUGUUUACCUGUUUGCACCUGUACGUCACACACACACACCGGGCCACCGUCUUAAAGGGACAGGGCUGGCCGGUAACAAUAGCCUAGAUGAGGCUAACUGAUUUUAUAGUUUUUACAAACGUUAAGAAGAAAAAAAAACUUCUUCCUCCGAACUCCAAAGCCUUAUUUAAAGUCCAUCUCUCUUUCUCUGAGAGUGUGGUGCACUGAAAAAAAAGAUAUACUGGAUUUACUUAAAAAUGUUGUUUCAAGUGGUUCCACAUAACUUUGUUAAGUAGAUGUUAAUAAACCAGUUUUCAUACCAUUUACUCAAUAUAUUGAAGUAUAUUGUACAACAGUGAUUUAAGUGACUUUAACUUAAUUGGGUUACUUUAAUUUUAUGUAUGAAGCCUAAAUUAAGUUCAGUGAAUGAACUGGAUAUUCA